GACGAACGCUGGCGGCGUGCCUAAUACAUGCAAGUAGAACGCUGAAGAGAGGAGCUUGCUCUUCUUGGAUGAGUUGCGAACGGGUGAGUAACGCGUAGGUAACCUGCCUUGUAGCGGGGGAUAACUAUUGGAAACGAUAGCUAAUACCGCAUAACAAUGGAUGACACAUGUCAUUUAUUUGAAAGGGGCAAUUGCUCCACUACAAGAUGGACCUGCGUUGUAUUAGCUAGUAGGUGAGGUAAUGGCUCACCUAGGCGACGAUACAUAGCCGACCUGAGAGGGUGAUCGGCCACACUGGGACUGAGACACGGCCCAGACUCCUACGGGAGGCAGCAGUAGGGAAUCUUCGGCAAUGGGGGCAACCCUGACCGAGCAACGCCGCGUGAGUGAAGAAGGUUUUCGGAUCGUAAAGCUCUGUUGUAAGUCAAGAACGGGUGUGAGAGUGGAAAGUUCACACUGUGACGGUAGCUUACCAGAAAGGGACGGCUAACUACGUGCCAGCAGCCGCGGUAAUACGUAGGUCCCGAGCGUUGUCCGGAUUUAUUGGGCGUAAAGCGAGCGCAGGCGGUUUGAUAGUCUGAAGUUAAAGGCUGUGGCUCAACCAUAGUUCGCUUUGGAAACUGUCAAACUUGAGUGCAGAAGGGGAGAGUGGAAUUCCAUGUGUAGCGGUGAAAUGCGUAGAUAUAUGGAGGAACACCGGUGGCGAAAGCGGCUCUCUGGUCUGUAACUGACGCUGAGGCUCGAAAGCGUGGGGAGCGAACAGGAUUAGAUACCCUGGUAGUCCACGCCGUAAACGAUGAGUGCUAGGUGUUGGAUCCUUUCCGGGAUUCAGUGCCGCAGCUAACGCAUUAAGCACUCCGCCUGGGGAGUACGACCGCAAGGUUGAAACUCAAAGGAAUUGACGGGGGCCCGCACAAGCGGUGGAGCAUGUGGUUUAAUUCGAAGCAACGCGAAGAACCUUACCAGGUCUUGACAUCCCGAUGCUAUUUCUAGAGAUAGAAAGUUACUUCGGUACAUCGGUGACAGGUGGUGCAUGGUUGUCGUCAGCUCGUGUCGUGAGAUGUUGGGUUAAGUCCCGCAACGAGCGCAACCCCUAUUGUUAGUUGCCAUCAUUCAGUUGGGCACUCUAGCGAGACUGCCGGUAAUAAACCGGAGGAAGGUGGGGAUGACGUCAAAUCAUCAUGCCCCUUAUGACCUGGGCUACACACGUGCUACAAUGGUUGGUACAACGAGUUGCGAGUCGGCGACGGCGAGCUAAUCUCUUAAAGCCAAUCUCAGUUCGGAUUGUAGGCUGCAACUCGCCUACAUGAAGUCGGAAUCGCUAGUAAUCGCGGAUCAGCACGCCGCGGUGAAUACGUUCCCGGACCU
rnacentral:rRNA from 1 species